UCUCUUUUGCUCCAGUUAGAGAUUGCCACGUGUCCCGGAUGCAGUGUUAAAGAAGCUAUUGGCGUGUUUUAUUUUUGGAUAUAAAAGGGCGAGACUUCUCAAUUCUAGGGUUAUCAUUCAUUCUUCCGCUCUCCAAAAGACGGCAGUUCCAUUUCUAGACGCAGUUCAUAGUUAGGGUUUCCUGUUUUCUUAGUUAGGGUUAUUUUGCGUUGAGAAUUUAUCCUUACGCCUAGAUAAUUCGUAGCUAGAGAUUUAUUUUCAGGAUCGGCUUUACUGUAAGUGAUUUUAUUCUUGUCUAGAUAAUUAAUGUUUACUGAAAUGGUUUAUGAUUGAAUUAAUGCUCUUAGUUUAAAACCUUAGAUAAUCUUACGCCGUUUAAUCUGUGCCUAGAUAAUUUAUAUGCUUUCUAUAAAUUCUGCAUUAGAUAAUUUUACAUGCUUAUUUAUUUCAUGCCUAGGUAAAUUUACAGAGCUUAUUUAAUUUCUGUUUUAGUUUAAGAGUGUGCCAGCGUGAAUCUGAUUAGAGUGUUUAGGAUUUAUUGCUUUUUGUGUGUGACACGAUUAGGUGCCCUGUUGAAUCUUCCUUGAGAGACGACUUGGGUUAGCUUGCCCACUGCAAUUGACCUCGUACGAUUGCGAGUCAAUUCACUAGUGUUUGAGUUGAGUCAAAUU
rnacentral:lncRNA from 1 species